rnacentral:rRNA from 1 species
GAUGAACGCUAGCUACAGGCUUAACACAUGCAAGUCGAGGGGAAACGAUAUUGGAAGCUUGCUUCCGAUAGGCGUCGACCGGCGCACGGGUGAGUAACGCGUAUCCAACCUGCCCGUCACUUGGGAAUAACCUUGCGAAAGUAAGACUAAUACCCAAUGACGUCCAUAGAAGACAUCUGAAAUGGAUUAAAGAUUUAUCGGUGAUGGAUGGGGAUGCGUCUGAUUAGCUUGUUGGCGGGGUAACGGCCCACCAAGGCAACGAUCAGUAGGGGUUCUGAGAGGAAGGUCCCCCCACAUUGGAACUGAGACACGGUCCAAACUCCUACGGGAGGCAGCAGUGAGGAAUAUUGGUCAAUGGGCGAGAGCCUGAACCAGCCAAGUAGCGUGCAGGAUGACGGCCCUAUGGGUUGUAAACUGCUUUUAUGCGGGGAUAAAGCGGGCCACGUGUGGCCCCUUGCAGGUACCGCAUGAAUAAGGACCGGCUAAUUCCGUG